AAUAGCCCAAGAGAGUGGUGAGUCAGAAAAGGCAUCAAAGGCAGGUCCUGGAUAAUGUUCUUGUGAAGGUUGUAUUCUCUUUCUUCUUUCCAUCCUGUAUCAGGUACAUUCCUCAUUGCUGCCGCAGGAGCAUGAGGUUGCUCACAUCAUGUUCCCAUCCGGGACGCAGCAGGGCAACCGUGGCUGACUGCAGACUGUGAGGGCACCAAUGCCGGCACGGUGAACCUCCUCAAGGCUACAGCACUAACUCUGUGGUCUCAGACAAGACUCUGUGCAUUCCUGUGUCACAGUUUCUUCAUACAUAAGCUGCUCCGGUCUCCAUCUUCCUCCAAGGGCACAGGAAUGACUCCAGGGACCCGAACCAGGAGAGCUGAAUCUUCAUGCUCCCAGGAUCAUCAGUACAAUUAUUGUGAGCAAAGACUUUGGAAUCAAAAUCCUGAGCUGAUCUGUGGUACAACAUUGUCUGGUUGCCUAAUAUUGGACCACCAUGAAUUAAAGCUGGACUUCAACAAGAAUAGAAACAAGAAGAAGUCUACACAUUCACGGAAUCUGAACGACUACUCAAUGAUCUCUGGGUCAGGGAAGAACGAAAGAAAGAAAGUAAAGACUUCCAGGGUUCAGUGAAAAUGAAGGCACAACAUGCUCAACUUAUGCAGUGCUAAAAUGAAAGCUCAUAGCAGUCAGUGCCCUCAAACAUAAAUUAGAGAAAUCCCGUGCAAGAGACUUAACAGCAAACCUGAAAGCUCUAGAACAAAAAGAAGCAAACACACCCAAGAGGAAAAGAUGACAGAAAAUACUUAAACUCAGGGCUAAGAUUAACAAAAUAGAAACAAAGAGAAUUAUAAAAGAGUCGGUGAAACAAAGAGCAGGUUCUUUGAGAAAAUCAACAAGAUAUACAAACCCUUAUCCAAACUAAAUAAAAGACAGAGAUUCCCAAAUUAACAAAAUCAGAAAUGAAAAGGGAAGUAUAACAGCGUACACCAAGGAAAUAAAAAAAAAUCAUACUUUUUUGAAGCUUACUUCAAAAACUUGUAUUUCGAAAAAUUGGAAAAUCUAAAAUAAAUGGACCUUGUUCUUGAUAGAUAUCAAUUACCCAAAUUAAAUCAAGAUCAGAUAAACAAGUGCCAAGAUCAGAUUUAUGGCACUGAAGGAAAUAGAAGCAGUCAUUAAAAGUCUGUCUGUCUGUCUGUCUGUCUGUCUCUCUCUCUCUCUCUCCCUCUCUAAACACACACACACACACACACACACACACACACACUAUUUGCACAUGAAACCCAUCUGCCCCAUGCACACACUGAGGGUGGGGAGAAAGAUUGGUCCCAUUUUAGUGAGAGACAGAAGGAGGCUGCAUAGCCAGGGUGUGAAGUAAUAUGUAAGACCUAAGAGCAACAAGAAACGGGGACAGCAGUUAUUUAGCCCAAAGACAUAAUUUCUGCAAUCAACGUCACGGAACCCGGGAGCAGAUCUUCCUGUAGUGGAGAAUCCAUAUGCUGUUGUAACUUGUUAACCUGCUGCUGGGAAAACCACUCAAGCCACAACAGACUCCUGAUUCACAGUGAUUGCCGGAGUAAUAAAAUUGUGUCUUAAGCUGC